AGAUGACCAUAAAACAGAUUACAUCUCGAACAGAAGCAAUUGUAAACAAGAUGAUGACGCAAGUUGACAAUAGUCUACAAGAUUUAGCCACACAAAGAAAGGAGCAAGAGAAUUGUUGGCGAGGAAUUUUGACGACUCAAAAAGCUUUUGUGGAAACAUUUAGAAAGAUUGAAGAAAAUGAGCAAUCUGAACAGAUGAAUUUGCAAGCUUCUUUGAAGACGGAAUUAAAGAAAUUUCGGGACAACGCUGCGAAGGAAGUU